rnacentral:rRNA from 1 species
GAUGAACGCUGGCGGCGUGCCUAAUACAUGCAAGUCGAGCGAACGGACGAGAAGCUUGCUUCUCUGAUGUUAGCGGCGGACGGGAGAGUAACACGUGGAUAACCUACCUAUAAGACUGGGAUAACUUCGGGAAACCGGAGCUAAUACCGGAUAAUAUUUUGAACCGCAUGGUUCAAAAGUGAAAGACGGUCUUGCUGUCACUUAUAGAUGGAUCCGCGCUGCAUUAGCUAGUUGGUAAGGUAACGGCUUACCAAGGCAACGAUGCAUAGCCGACCUGUGAGGGUGAUCGGCGACACUGGAACUGAGACACGGUCCAGACUCCUACGGGAGGCAGCAGUAGGGAAUCUUCCGCAAUGGGCGAAAGCCUGACGGAGCAACGCCGCGUGAGUGAUGAAGGUCUUCGGAUCGUAAAACUCUGUUAUUAGGGAAGAACAUAUGUGUAAGUAACUGUGCACAUCUUGACGGUACCUAAUCAGAAAGCCACGGCUAACUACGUG